rnacentral:rRNA from 1 species
GAGUUUGAUCAUGGCUCAGGACGAACGCUGGCGGCGUGCCUAAUACAUGCAAGUAGAACGCUGAAGAGAGGAGCUUGCUCUUCUUGGAUGAGUUGCGAACGGGUGAGUAACGCGUAGGUAACCUGCCUUGUAGCGGGGGAUAACUAUUGGAAACGAUAGCUAAUACCGCAUAACAAUAGGUGACACAUGUCAUUUAUUUGAAAGGGGCAAUUGCUCCACUACAAGAUGGACCUGCGUUGUAUUAGCUAGUAGGUGAGGUAACGGCUCACCUAGGCGACGAUACAUAGCCGACCUGAGAGGGUGAUCGGCCACACUGGGACUGAGACACGGCCCAGACUCCUACGGGAGGCAGCAGUAGGGAAUCUUCGGCAAUGGGGGCAACCCUGACCGAGCAACGCCGCGUGAGUGAAGAAGGUUUUCGGAUCGUAAAGCUCUGUUGUAAGUCAAGAACGAGUGUGAGAGUGGAAAGUUCACACUGUGACGGUAGCUUACCAGAAAGGGACGGCUAACUACGUGCCAGCAGCCGCGGUAAUACGUAGGUCCCGAGCGUUGUCCGGAUUUAUUGGGCGUAAAGCGAGCGCAGGCGGUUUGAUAAGUCUGAAGUUAAAGGCUGUGGCUCAACCAUAGUUCGCUUUGGAAACUGUCAAACUUGAGUGCAGAAGGGGAGAGUGGAAUUCCAUGUGUAGCGGUGAAAUGCGUAGAUAUAUGGAGGAACACCGGUGGCGAAAGCGGCUCUCUGGUCUGUAACUGACGCUGAGGCUCGAAAGCGUGGGGAGCGAACAGGAUUAGAUACCCUGGUAGUCCACGCCGUAAACGAUGAGUGCUAGGUGUUGGAUCCUUUCCGGGAUUCAGUGCCGCAGCUAACGCAUUAAGCACUCCGCCUGGGGAGUACGACCGCAAGGUUGAAACUCAAAGGAAUUGACGGGGGCCCGCACAAGCGGUGGAGCAUGUGGUUUAAUUCGAAGCAACGCGAAGAACCUUACCAGGUCUUGACAUCCCGAUGCUAUUUCUAGAGAUAGAAAGUUACUUCGGUACAUCGGUGACAGGUGGUGCAUGGUUGUCGUCAGCUCGUGUCGUGAGGCGUUGGGUUAAGUCCCGCAACGAGCGCAACCCCUAUUGUUAGUUGCCAUCAUUCAGUUGGGCACUCUAGCGAGACUGCCGGUAAUAAACCGGAGGAAGGUGGGGAUGACGUCAAAUCAUCAUGCCCCUUAUGACCUGGGCUACACACGUGCUACAAUGGUUGGUACAACGAGCUGCGAGUCGGUGACGGCAAGCUAAUCUCUUAAAGCCAAUCUCAGUUCGGAUUGUAGGCUGCAACUCGCCUACAUGAAGUCGGAAUCGCUAGUAAUCGCGGAUCAGCACGCCGCGGUGAAUACGUUCCCGGGCCUUGCACACACCGCCCGUCAAA